UCUCUCUUUGUCUCCCAAAACCCUAGCCCUAAUUUCCAUCCCCGCUCUCCGGCGAGAGAAGAAUUUGAUUGGAGAUUUCGUUGAUCAGUCGAGAGGAGAGUACGAUUGGAGAUUCCUUUGGUCAAUCAAAUAGCUCCCAUUGCUUGGGGUAACUGUAUACUGAAACAAGUGAGAUGUUGGAAAUCAGAGGGACAUGCUUGAUGGAAAUUAGUCUGCAAGAAACUCUCUAUAAGAGCAUGUAGAUUCCAAACUACUUGGCCAAGCAUAAAGCAAUACCUGUCCUUCCAGCCUUAGGCGGGAGUCAGCCACCACAAGAUGAAACUAUUUAUUAGCUCCAUGGGCAUACAACAGUAGUAUUUCACCGCAAACCACAAGUGCGGUCUGGUUAAUAUCUACCUACAUUUGGUUGCUUUAAAAAAGCUACUAAUACUGCUGAUCUUGAGUAAUUCUGAAUUAGUUGGUUAUUUGAUUCAGUUGCAGAGGAGAAGGCCAAAGUCAAAAGAGUACAAAAGAUAAUAAGGCAGCAAGAGCUUAUGACUUGGCUUCUCUUAAGUACUUGGGAACAACUACGACAACCAACUUUCAUAUAACUAACUAUGAGGAGUUAGAGGAAAUGAAACAUAUGACCAGAUAGAAAUAUGUCGCAUCUCUUUCAAGGUAAUAACAAGUGAAAAAGGCC